rfam:Solanum lycopersicum cultivar Heinz 1706 chromosome 7, whole genome shotgun sequence.
UUAGAGGAUUUGGAUACUUCAACUUGUAUACUAAGAGGAUUUGGAUACUUCAACAUGUAUACUUAGAGGAUUUGAAUACUUCAACU